rnacentral:rRNA from 1 species
UCCCUACGGGAGGCAGCAGUGAGGAAUAUUGGUCAAUGGACGCAAGUCUGAACCAGCCAUGCCGCGUGCAGGAAGACGGCUCUAUGAGUUGUAAACUGCUUUUGUACGAGGGUAAAUCCCGAUACGUGUAUCGGGUUGAAAGUAUCGUACGAAUAAGGAUCGGCUAACUCCGUGCCAGCAGCCGCGGUAAUACGGAGGAUUCAAGCGUUAUCCGGAUUUAUUGGGUUUAAAGGGUGCGUAGGCGGAUUUUUAAGUCAGCGGUAAAAUGUCCGGGCUCAACCCGGGCCGGCCGUUGAAACUGGGGA